rnacentral:lncRNA from 1 species
GUUAGUAGUAUGGAACUGAUGGAGAGGCAGGAAAAGGAGAUCACCUUAACCAUUUUGGUCCUUUCCUUUUUAUUAUUAUUUUUUUAUUUAAAGGAGUAUGCUUCGGAUUUAUUUAUAAAGAAAAUCCUCUGAUAUUAUUGCAGGGGAAGGAACAUGUUCACCAGAGCAUAUAGAUCUCAACAUACUAAUCACCGUCAACUGCAGUCAAAGAGCUGGUGUGACUUAAAAAAUAUCUAUCUGUCUAUCAUCUUUUUUACUGAGCUAUAAUCCACCUCAUAAAAUUCACCCUUUUUAAGGUAUAAAAUUCAGUGGAUUUAGUAUACUGACUAGGUUGUACAACCGUAGCCACUAUUUAAUUCCAGAAUGUGUCAACCAGCCGAAACAGAAGCCCACUUCCCAUUAGUGACACCACCCCACUCGCACACCGGGCCGUUCCCCCAGCCCCUGAAAACCACUAAUCUGUGUGUGUGUGUGUGUGUGGUUUUUUUUUUUUUUUUGUCUUACAGACUUGCCUGUUCUUGGCAGCUCGUAUGUAUGAUAUUGUACACUAUGUGGCCUUUCGUAUCUGGCUUCUUUCAGUCAGCAGUGUUUCUGAGGUCCAGUCACCUUGUAACAUGGGCAGUGCCUGAUUUCCUCUCCAUCGUCUCCAUUUCUGGGGUGAUUGUCUGCAAGGCUGUCUCCUGGUCUGCGACAUCUCUUCCUGCCAGCCACGCUAGACUUACGGUGAACCGGCUCUCAGUGCCUCCCUGGAGAAGACUCAGAAACCAUCCCUACAUGGUCUGGAGAGGAGAGACCUUAUGUUUGCAUAGAGUAAAAGACAAAAAGCCCCACCAAACCUAAUCAGGACAAGUAAUCAAAACUAAAUUAAAUCCACCUGCUAAGGAGGAGCUCCACUGGCUCUGCCAAGUGAUUAGGAUUGAAUAGAAAUAUCUGUUUUCUUUUGCCCCCUCUUCAACCUUUCACCAGUGUUGUUUUUUUCCCCUCUGAAAGUAAAGAGAAGUCUUAACAAGCGCCUCGGUGAAUGAUGUGGAGUUCUCUUGGAGUUUUCAAUUUGGCUGUAUUGAUUUAUAAGGUCUUUUCAAUUACUGAAUUCUUCUUGCUGGCAGUCAUAGGGCCCAGUACGUGAG